rnacentral:rRNA from 1 species
GCCAACCCUAGCCCAACACCUUAUAUAACUAUAAUAUUUAAUCGCAAUAACUAAAUCAUUUACCUGCUACAAAAGUAUAGGCGAUAGAAAUUACAUUUAGGCGCAAUAGAUAUAGUACCGCAAGGGAAAGAUAAAACCUAACAAAGCAUAAAAAAGCAAAGACGAAUCCUUUUACCUUUCGCAUAAUGAAUUAACUAGAAAUAACUUUGUACAGAGAACUUUAACAAUGCCCCCCGAAACCAAACGAGCUACCCAAAGAUAGCUAAAAGAGCACACCCAUCUAUGUGGCAAAAUAGUGGGACAAUCUAUGGGUAGUGGCGACAAACCUACCGAGCUUGGUGAUAGCUGGUUGUCCAAGACAGAAUCUUAGUUCAACCUUAAAUUUACUUACAGAGUUCCAGAAUCCGUCCGUAAAUUUAAUCGUUAAUCUAAAGAGGGACAGCUCUUUAGAUCCUAGGAAAUAACCUUUUAUAGAGAGUAAGAUAUCCCACUACUACAGUUGGCUUAAAAGCAGCCAUCAAUUAAGAAAGCGUUCAAGCUCAAUGCAUUACUAUUCUUAAUCCUACUCAUCCUACCGAACUCCUAAAACACAUUGGACCAAUCUAUUACUCAAUAGAAGUAACAAUGUUAAUAUAAGUAACAUGAAGACAUUCUCCACGCAUAAGCUUAUUUCAGACCGAAACAACUACUGUCAGUUAACAGCCCAAUUAUUAUAUACUAUAACUUAACAUAACUUUUACCCAAACUGUUAACCCAACACAGGCAUGCACCCAGGAAAGAUUAAAAGAAGUAAAAGGAACUCGGCAAACUCUAACCCCGCCUGUUUACCAAAAACAUCACCUCUAGCAUUAUUAGUAUUAGAGGCACUGCCUGCCCAGUGACAUGCGUUUAACGGCCGCGGUACCCUGACCGUGCAAAGGUAGCAUAAUCACUUGUUCUCUAAAUAAGGACUUGUAUGAAUGGCCACACGAGGGUUUAACUGUCUCUUACUUCUAAUCAGUGAAAUUGACCUAUCCGUGAAGAGGCGGAUAUAACCAAAUAAGACGAGAAGACCCUAUGGAGCUUCAAUUUAAUAAUACAAACUAAUAAUUCAAAAACCAAUAGGCAUCAACUCACUGUACAUGUAUUAUAAAUUUUGGUUGGGGUGACCUCGGAGUACAAUAUAACCUCCGAAAGACACACACCAAGACUUCACCAGUCUAAGUAAACUCAUUACAUCCAUUGACCCAAUAACUUGAUCAACGGACUAAGUUACCCUAGGGAUAACAGCGCAAUCCUAUUCUAGAGUCCAUAUCGACAAUAGGGUUUACGACCUCGAUGUUGGAUCAAGACAUCCUAAUGGUGCAGCCGCUAUUAAAGGUUCGUUUGUUCAACGAUUAAAGUCUUACGUGAUCUGAGUUCAGACCGGAGAAAUCCAGGUCGGUUUCUAUCUAUUAAAUAUUUCUCCCAGUACGAAAGGAUAAGAGAAAUAGAGCCUACUUCAUAAAGCGCCCUCAUAAAUCAAAUGAUUAUUGUCUCAAUUUAACAAAUUACCAUUCCAACCCAAGAACAGGGCUA